AAUGGACAAUGAAAUAAACCCAUUGGACCCGGGGGCGGUACCCGGCGCCUCCACCAAAAUAUAAUAAAUAAGGAUUAUAUUUUGGUGGGGGCGAAAUAGGAUCGACAAGGGCGUAAAGAUUGCUCUUUUACUCGGCAUUGUACCACCGUUAUCGGGCUAAAUGAGUAGUUGCAAAUGACAACUAUGCGGAAGCUCGUCUCGCCGCUUAAUGUGGUGCGAAAGCUUCAAAUUAACUCUUAAACCGUCGCAGGUUUAAGCGGGGUUCGGAGGCACC
rnacentral:tmRNA from 1 species